UACGUAGGGUGCAAGCGUUAAUCGGAAUUACUGGGCGUAAAGCGUGCGCAGGCGGUUGUGUAAGACAGAUGUGAAAUCCCCGGGCUCAACCUGGGAACUGCAUUUGUGACUGCACGGCUGGAGUGCGGCAGAGGGGGAUGGAACUCCGCGUGUAGCAGUGAAAUGCGUAGAUAUGCGGAGGAACACCGAUGGCGAAGGCAAUCCCCUGGGCCUGCACUGACGCUCAUGCACGAAAGCGUGGGGAGCAAACAGG
rnacentral:rRNA from 1 species